ACAGAAUCCUUUGCUUUGCUGCCGACUGACACUCAUUUGAAGCUAACAUGAAGAUUUUGUAACCAGCCUUGAAUGGGAGAACAGAGAGAAUGACUGUGUGAGCAGAGGGAACAGCUUGCCAAAUACCUGCAGAACACCUCAUUCCUCCCCUUUCUGGGACCUGACAGACAGGUAGAGCCAGAUCUGGAGUCCGGAACGUAUGGUGUCAUCUUUUUGCUUCUGCAGGUGGCUGAGGGAGCCUCUGGGAUGUGGUAGCCCACAGGCUGGAAGUGGUGGGGUCAGGCAGUGCUGGAAACACAGCCUGGCAUGUGGGUCCUGUCCAGCUCUGCUCUGGGAUCCGAUCUGGUGUUCCUGGCUCUGCUGCCAUCUCAACUGCCCCUCGGGACUGGGAAUCAGCUCCUGUGCAUAGAGAAAAGACGACAGCCAGCUCUUAAGCAGGAGCUGAGUUUGCUGUGUGAUGAUGAGAAGCUACGUGGAGAAGACAAGGAGUACAACCUGCGAUGAAGCAGUGAUGAGAGUACUCCACCUUUCCCAGCAGGAAAUCAAGUGUGACCCAGGCAGGGCUGGAGGCACAGCAGCUGCUAAAAGGCUUGUGGUGUUGAGAGCUGCCCACCAGGGUGUCCUGAAGAGAGCUGAAGGUCCAGGAGCAGAAGCUGGCAGCCUGGGGCACACAUGCACAACAACUCCACAAAAGCAAAGUUUUCAGAUUUCAAUAAGCUAUCACCUUACACUGUGAAGAUGCUCAUGAAAUGGAGAAGAGGAAGACCAUGACAAUGCUGGAACUCCUUCCUUGUGUUAAUGGCAGCUCUUCUGAUUCAAAAGGGUUGAUGGCUCCUGCAGGCUUUUAAGCACAUCGUGGUACCAGAGCUGCAACACAAGCCCAUCCACCAGCAGAGCUUCGCACUCAUGCUUUCUAUCACCCCCUGCUUGAUGCAGUACAUACUUUGUGACUUUUCAGGAUUCCUCUGUUUGACCUCAGUUACAAAGUGACGAAAUAUUCACAAAGUAUCUCCCCUGUUUGGUUCUGAACCCAUCUUGCACUGGUAGGUAUGACUUAUCCAUUUGGUGCAAACCCAAGUGAGAGCUUAAGGACGUGAUACAGACCAUGGGAGAGGACACAGAGCACACAAAAGUAACGGCACAAGGCAUGGGACUGUUAAGCAGGAAUUUCUUUCCUUGGGGAUCAGAUUUGAUUUAGGAUCAGGCACCUGAUGCCUCUCCCUCUCUUCCAGGGUCAGUAUUUGGUACAGGGUCUCUGUAUUUUCUGCAUAUUCGAGAUCUUACACGUGAAAAUCUUGUCAGUUUGUAUCCCUGGAAAUGAAAUGAGAGUAGUU
rnacentral:lncRNA from 7 species